rnacentral:snRNA from 1 species
UUACUUACCUGGCAGGGGACACACCAUGAUCAGGAAGGUGGUUUCCCAGGGUGAGGCUCGUUCAUGCACUGCC